rnacentral:tRNA from 1 species
GGACCUGUAGCUCAGUGGUAGAGCGGCCGACUUUUAAUCGGCGGGUCGUGGGUUCGAACCCCACCGGGUCCUCCA